AGGGUUUGAUCAUGGCUCAGAUUGAACGCUGGCGGCAGGCCUAACACAUGCAAGUCGAACGGUAACAGAACUAGCUUGCUAGUUGCUGACGAGUGGCGGACGGGUGAGUAAUACUUAGGGAUCUGCCUCUGUGUGGGGGAUAACUAUUGGAAACGAUAGCUAAUACCGCAUAAUGUCUACGGACCAAAGAGGGCUUCGGCUCUCGCGCAGAGAGGAACCUAAGCGAGAUUAGCUAGUUGGUGAGGUAAAGGCUCACCAAGGCGACGAUCUCUAGCUGUUCUGAGAGGAAGAUCAGCCACACUGGAACUGAGACACGGUCCAGACUCCUACGGGAGGCAGCAGUGGGGAAUAUUGCACAAUGGGGGAAACCCUGAUGCAGCCAUGCCGCGUGUGUGAAGAAGGCCUUCGGGUUGUAAAGCACUUUCAGUUGUGAGGAAAGUUUAGUAGUUAAUACCUGCUAGAUGUGACGUUAACAACAGAAGAAGCACCGGCUAACUCCGUGCCAGCAGCCGCGGUAAUACGGAGGGUGCGAGCGUUAAUCGGAAUUACUGGGCGUAAAGCGCACGCAGGCGGUCUGUUAAGCUAGAUGUGAAAGCCCCGCGCUCAACGUGGGAGGGUCAUUUAGAACUGGCAGACUAGAGUCUUGGAGAGGGGAGUGGAAUUCCAGGUGUAGCGGUGAAAUGCGUAGAGAUCUGGAGGAACAUCAAUGGCGAAGGCAACUCCCUGGCCAAAGACUGACGCUCAUGUGCGAAAGUGUGGGUAGCGAACAGGAUUAGAUACCCUGGUAGUCCACACCGUAAACGCUGUCUACUAGCUGUUUGUGGAUUUAAUCCGUGAGUAGCGAAGCUAACGCGAUAAGUAGACCGCCUGGGGAGUACGGCCGCAAGGUUAAAACUCAAAUGAAUUGAC
rnacentral:rRNA from 1 species